GUGGGGUGGCUGCAAUUAGAAGUGGCAAAAGGAAUUCUGGACUAGACAAGAUGGCUGCUGUGCUACUGGUGCAAGCAGAGAGUUUAGAAAAGUACCAUCAGUCUAACUGACAAGAAUCUGCAGCUGGCUGGAGCUAACAUCGGGAAUGCUGGAGCUGCAGCUUUGAAGUAGCUGUGUCUUUUGGCAAGGCCCGUAGAGUAUGAAGGAGAUGGACCACAGCACUGAAAGCAGAGAGCCUAACUAGAACAUGAGCAAAAGAAAACAAAGUUCCCCCAAGAGCUGCAAAAGAAAGUUGUUCCUCAACCAAUAAACUGCUGACAAGAUGCCAUAGAUCCAGCAACAACAAAGCAUGCAGCAAUCUUCGGGCUUUCUGAGUGGAAGGCACUUACACCAGCAUAUAACUCAAAGUAAUUGUACAGUUACUUCUGGAUGUAAUUUGACAUUUGCAGCCAACUGCGGUCCAAUAGACUGAGCUAACAGAAACAGAACUGCUCUUUUGCAUAUGGUUUGUACAACAAAAAAUCAAGACCUGAAAAUAGGAAAUCAUCACAGAGAGAAAAUUCUGAUCAUAAAACGUGGAUAUCUUAACGCAUUCAUUUCUUCAGCAGCACACCAAAAAUGUAUUCUCCCUAAGAUUACAGCCUUCAGCACCCACUGUUUAUACAAGAUGCACAGAAUCUAAAAUAUGAAUGUCAUUACCCACAGUUAAAUAUUUGAGAGGUCCAGGUCAGCACCAUUUUGAGAGAACAGAAGGCACCCUUCAGCCUGAUUCCCAGCAGAUUUCUGUGUCACUGACAGAGACUGGCAGUGACUCUGGUGUCCCAUUAAAGCCCUUAGCACAAAUGAUCCAUUCAAAAUCUGAUUCAUCUCUGUGGAUUUUGGAGCAUCUAAUGCAGAAAGUAGUCCCACUGUAGCCUUUCCCUCGGGGAGCACUGAUUCCCAUGCCACUGCUCUGCCCUGCUGCCUCUGCUCAGGCUGUUUGAACAUCAACUCAUACAAGUGCUCAGUCCAGUUUCUGCCCAAGUCAUGCUCUACGUCUAAUGCUGAAAUCUUGCAAUCCACCUCAGUUCAGAGAACCAUUGAAUUGUCGGGGUUUUAAGGAACAUUUAAAGGUCACCUAGUCCAAUCCCCCUGCAAUGAGCAGGGACAUCAACUAGAUCAGGUUGCUCAGAGUCCCAUAUAACCUGGCCUCAGAUGUUUCCAGGAAUCUGAUAUCUAGUCCCUCUCUGGGCAAGCUAUUCCAGCAAUUCACCACAUUCAUUGUGAAAAUAUUCUUCCUUAUAUCUAGCUUAUCUCAAUUGACCCUCUUUUAGUUUAAAACAUUACUCCUGUUCCUAUUACAACAGGCCCUACUAUAAAGUUUAGCCCCAUUUUCUUAUGAGCUCCCUUUAGGUACUCAAAGGCAAACAACACCUCCUUACCUUUAACCUUGCAGCAGUUGAAAGGAUCAGGACAGCUACUCAGAUUGUGAAAAAAGUCAAGUAAGUCUCUAUACAGGUUUCAAACUUAGCUGUAUCAAUAGUCUUUACUGAGAGGGAAGACUUUUUCUGUUCCCUGAAAUGCAUUAUUCUGUCCUGGGAAGAACAUAAUUAUCACAUUAAAAAAAACCCCAAGAAUUUUCCUCCUGCCUCUCCUGCUCAAAAAACCCAACCAAAAAGAACAUUAGACUCUAGCCAGUGCCUACUAAAAAAAUUAGUCUUCACUACACAAAUCUUCCAGCAAUUCAGAUUUCCAGACUGCUACACAG